AAAUAAUGAAACUGCAUGGUGCAGAAAGUGUCUUUUUCUUUACAGUUUCUGCUGCUGGGCAAGCGGUAGAUCACACGGCUUCUGUACCAUGGUAACUAUUUAAAGUAUUAGUCACUCUUUUUCGCAUCGGUCACUAUUUUCGGUUAUCAUUUUGGUGGCUGCAUUCCGUACCGGUGACGUUCGACGUUUGAUAGUUCAUCAAAUAGCAGCGCUGUUAAAUUUGGUCACCUGUCAGCUACGCUACUGUUUUAGCAGCGCGUUUAGUAGCGACCGGUAAAAUGUCAAUGUAAUGAUACUGCGCUGACAAACGGUUUAUACUCACCACCGAAAUGAAGCUUAUGAUAAAUAAAAUACUGCUGCUUGCUGUUCACUGAUUCAAGAUCGUUCAGUGGCUACCAUUGGCCAAUCUUACCAACGGGAUAUAAUAAGAACUGAUGCAGGUUUAUGCACCCGUAGCCAAGUAACAGUAAUGCGAGUUAAAAUGAGUUAAAAUCAAGUUUUAACUGAUGUAAAAUAAUUUUAAAAUAAAUAAAAAUUGUAAAAC